CGAAAGCCUGACGGAGCAACGCCGCGUGAGGGAGGAAGGCUCUUGGGUUGUAAACCUCUUUUGUUAGGGAAGAAGAAAGUGACGGUACCUAACGAAUAAGCAUCGGCUAACUCCGUGCCAGCAACCGCGGUAAUACGGAGGAUGCAAGCGUUAUCCGGAAUCAUUGGGCGUAAAGCGUCCGCAGGUGGCUGUUCAAGUCUGCUGUCAAAGACAGAAGCUUAACUUCUGAAAGGCAGUGGAAACUGGAGAGCUAGAGUACGGUAGGGGUUGAGGGAAUUCCCAGUGUAGCGGUGAAAUGCGUAGAUAUUGGGAAGAACACCAGUGGCGAAGGCGCUCAACUGGGCCGUAACUGACACUCAGGGACGAAAGCUAGGGGAGCG
rnacentral:rRNA from 1 species